AUUGAACGCUGGCGGCAGGCCUAACACAUGCAAGUCGAACGAGUGGCGGACGGGUGAGGAAUGUCUGGGAAACUGCCUGAUGGAGGGGGAUAACUACUGGAAACGGUAGCUAAUACCGCAUACCAUCGGAUGUGCCCAGAUGGGAUUAGCUAGUAGGUGGGGUAAAGGCUCACCUAGGCGACGAUCCCUAGCUGGUCUGAGCGGAUGACCAGCCACACUGGAACUGAGACACGGUCCAGACUCCGACGGGAGGCAGCAGUGGGGAAUAUUGCACAAUGGGCGCAAGCCUGAUGCAGCCAUGCCGCGUGUGUGAAGAAGGCCGUCGGGUGGUAAAGCACUUUCAGCGGGGAGGCGUUAGCCGCAGAAGAAGCAACGGCUAACUCCGUGCCAGCCGCCGCGGUAAUUC
rnacentral:rRNA from 1 species